GACGAACGCUGGCGGCGUGCUUAACACAUGCAAGUCGAACGGUAAGGCCCUUCGGGGUACACGAGUGGCGAACGGGUGAGUAACACGUGGGUGAUCUGCCCUGCACUUCGGGAUAAGCCUGGGAAACUGGGUCUAAUACCGGAUAGGACUCCUGGCUUCAUGGUUGGGGGUGGAAAGCUUUUGCGGUGUGGGAUGGGCCCGCGGCCUAUCAGCUUGUUGGUGGGGUAAUGGCCUACCAAGGCGACGACGGGUAGCCGGCCUGAGAGGGUGACCGGUCACACUGGGACUGAGCUCCGGCCCAGACUCCUACGGGAGGCAGCAGUGGGGAAUAUUGCACAAUGGGCGCAAGCCUGAUGCAGCGACGCCGCGUGGGGGAUGACGGCCUUCGGGUUGUAAACCUCUUUCAGCUAUGACGAAGCGCAAGUGACGGUAGUAGCAGAAGAAGGACCGGCCAACUACGUGCCAGCCGCCGCCGUAA
rnacentral:rRNA from 1 species